rnacentral:rRNA from 1 species
UGGAACUAAGAUUCUCCGCUCUUGAGUGCUCCUCAUGAUCAUCAGCAGCUGCUCCUCUUCUUGAUGAGCUCCUCAGCAUGAUCACCGACGACUCAGUCUAUUUACUUACACACCCCAAAUGUAUGUCUACGAAUGUUAUUUAAUGGGCCUUGUGCCUUUAAACCAUAAUACAACUUUCAACAACGGAUCUCUUGGCUCUCGCAUCGAUGAAGAACGCAGCGAAAUGCGAUAAGUAAUGUGAAUUGCAGAAUUCGACGACUCCUCGGCUUUUUAGACGAAUCCUCCGAUUAUUAGUAAACGCAACUGCAUGACAAUUUAAAUGCCAUUAAAUUCUCAAACUCACUUUGGUUUCUUUCCAAUUGUGAUGUUUGGAUUGUUGGGGGCUGCUGGCCUUGACAGGUCGGCUCCUCUUAAAUGCAUUAGCAGGACUUCUCAUUGCCUCUGCGCAUGAUGUGAUAAUUAUCACUCAUCAAUAGCACGCAUGAAUAGAGUCCAGCUCUCUAAUCGUCCGCAAGGACAAUUUGACAAUUUGACCUCAAAUCAGGUAGGACUACCCGCUGAACUUAAGCAUAUCAAUAAGCGGAGGAAAAGAAACUAACAAGGAUUCCCCUAGUAACUGCGAGUGAAGCGGGAAAAGCUCAACCCUCUGAAUAUCAAAGGGGCGCAAGGUGA